GAUGAACGCUGGCGGCGUGCCUAAUACAUGCAAGUCGAGCGAAUGGAUUAAGAGCUUGCUCUUAUGAAGUUAGCGGCGGACGGGUGAGUAACACGUGGGUAACCUGCCCAUAAGACUGGGAUAACUCCGGGAAACCGGGGCUAAUACCGGAUAACAUUUUGAACCGCAUGGUUCGAAAUUGAAAGGCGGCUUCGGCUGUCACUUAUGGAUGGACCCGCGUCGCAUUAGCUAGUUGGUGAGGUAACGGCUCACCAAGGCAACGAUGCGUAGCCGACCUGAGAGGGUGAUCGGCCACCCUGGAACUGAGAGACGGCCCAGACUCCUACGGGAGGCAGCAGUAGGGAAUCUUCCGCAAUGGACGAAAGUCUGACGGAGCAACGCCGCGUGAGUGAUGAAGGCUUUCGGGUCGUAAAACUCUGUUGUUAGGGAAGAACAAGUGCUAGUUGAAUAAGCUGGCACCUUGACGGUACCUAACCAGAAAGCCACGGCUAACUACGUGCCAGCCGCCGCCGUAA
rnacentral:rRNA from 1 species